AAAACAUUAACUUCGCGGACAGAUGAACCAAACGGGGCAAAGGCUGCGGCUGUAACGCGACAGCAGCCAGCUGGAGCCACACGGAGCGGCAGCGCACAGCACAGGCGAACUCCUCAUCCCACCAGGCUGUGAUGCGCACUGGUGACGCCGCGUUCCUCUAGUCCGCACACAGACAGGCGAAGACUUGGCGUGGGAUCGGACCCUGCUGCGCCUCAUCUGGACGAACAGCGUCGGGGAAAAUCCCGCAAAAACCGCGACUCUCUGCCGUGUGCGAGUGAGAGAGAGCGCGAGCGUGUGCGUGUGUGUGUGUGUGUGAGUGAGCGCGCGCGCUCGGAAUUUUUUUCCUUUUUCUUUUUUUGAUUUUUUUUUUUUUAAUAGGCGAUCGUUGUUGAGAAUAAUCCGUUUUUCAGGUGAACGUUUCCGUCGGACGAAGAGACGGGGGGCUUCUGGACUUUGCAGAGGAGACGAGCUGCUCAAUUCCGACAGAUUACCAGCAGAUACAAGCUUUAAUCAGCAAACACUUUUUCCUGCCACUCUGUCACAACGGCUAGAUUUGAGGGAGUGGGGGAUGUGCUGUGGUGGAGCAGGGGUUAAUCACAACCCACAUAAGGAGGCCUUAGUCCUCAA